rnacentral:rRNA from 1 species
GACGAACGCUGGCGGCGUGCUUAACACAUGCAAGUCGAACGGAAAGGCCCUGCUUUUGUGGGGUGCUCGAGUGGCGAACGGGUGAGUAACACGUGAGUAACCUGCCCUUGACUUUGGGAUAACUUCAGGAAACUGGGGCUAAUACCGGAUAGGAGCUCCUGCUGCAUGGUGGGGGUUGGAAAGUUUCGGCGGUUGGGGAUGGACUCGCGGCUUAUCAGCUUGUUGGUGGGGUAGUGGCUUACCAAGGCUUUGACGGGUAGCCGGCCUGAGAGGGUGACCGGCCACAUUGGGACUGAGAUACGGCCCAGACUCCUACGGGAGGCAGCAGGCGGGAAUAUUGCACAAUGGGCGGAAGCCUGAUGCAGCAACGCCGCGUGCGGGAUGACGGCCUUCGGGUUGUAAACAGCUUUCGCCUGUGACGAAGCGUGAGUGACGGUAAUGGGUAAAGAAGCACCGGCUAACUACGUG